CUGGGGUAGGGAAUCCUCCAGAAAGAGGGAGACGUCAUUGUGAUGAGAAGGGAGCCUAAGAGCCCACAGCCAGGCCUGCAAGGGGGUGGAGAGUUCACAGCAGGGAGCUGUUUUCCAGCCCAACAGGCGAUGCAGCCUGGCCCAGGUAGCCAUGGAGAUGGAGUGAGGAGUUCUGCCGUUGCCUCCCUCUGAGAAUCGGACAACCCUCUUCAGUAUGAAGCAAGGCCCGGCUCAGAAGGGAGCAGUGGGAGCCUCCUGUGGGGAAGAAAAGAAGCAAGCAGCCCUCCAAUCUGCUCUCCCUGGGAGGAAGAAGAAAAGGGAGACUCCAUGUGUAAUUGCUAAUAAGUAGGCAUGACCGAGUCUUAACAAUAAUUAAAGUUACCAACUGAA